GAUGAAGAACGUAGCGAAAGUGCGAAACGUAAUGUGAAUUGCAGAAUUCAGUGAAUCAUCGAAUCUUUGAACGCACCUUGCGCUCUUUGGUAUUCCGAAGAGCAUGCCUGUUUGAGUGUCAUGAAAAUAUCAACCUUGACUUGGGUUUUGUGCUCUAGUCUCGGCUUGGAAUUGGGUGCUUGCCGCUUUUACGAGCGGCUCACCUUAAAUGUAUUAGCUGGAUCUGUCUUUGAGACUUGGUUUGACUUGGCGUAAUAAGUAUUUCGCUAAGGACAUUCUUCGGAGUGGCCUCGUUUCUAGGACGCUUGUCCGCUUUCCAAUACAAGUUCCACCUCGUGGACAUGACUUUUUAUUAUCUGGCCUCAAAUCAGGUAGGACUACCCGCUGAACUUAAGCAUAUCAAUAAGCGGAGGA
rnacentral:misc_RNA from 1 species